CCCCCUGUGGCUCAGUUGGUAGAGCAUGGUGUGUGCAACGCCAGGGUUGUGGGUUUGAUUCCCACGGGGGGC
rnacentral:tRNA from 1 species